AGGACGAACGCUGGCGGCGUGCUUAACACAUGCAAGUCGAACGAGGCCCUACCUUCGGGUAGGUGACCUAGUGGCGAACGGGUGAGUAACACGUGGGCAACCUACCCUCAGCUCUGGGAUAACCCCGGGAAACCGGAGCUAAAUACCGGAUAUGACCUUGCACGACAUCGUGCUUGGUGGAAAGUUUUUCGGCUGAGGAUGGGCCCGCGGCCUAUCAGCUUGUUGGUGGGGUAAUAGCCCACCAAGGCGACGACGGGUA
rnacentral:rRNA from 1 species